UUCCAGCUCCAGCAGCGUAUAUUUAUAUUGCUGCGUUUAAAAAGCUCGUAGUUGAAGCGUCAGACACGGGAGGGCGGACGGCCGCACUGGUCGCUCUCGCCCGACCGGGCCAGGCGCAGAGGGUGUCCGCCGCUUGCACUUCACCGUGUGAGCGCGGCGCCGCUGCACGUUCACCUUGAAGAAAUUGAACCGCUUAGAGGGGGCGAGCAGCUUGAACAGCUCAGCAUGGUAUGAUGGAACAUGGGCUCGUACACGUUUUGUUGGUUCUAGUGUUGGCGAGCCAAUGAUUAAGAGGGACUGCCGGGGGCAUUAGUACUCGGACGGGAGAGGUGAAAUUCAAGGAUCGUCCGAGGACUUCCUACUGCGAAAGCAUUUGCCAAGAAUGUUUUCAUUAAUCAAGAACGAAAGUCAGAGGUGCGAAGGCGAUCAGAUACCGCCGUAGUUCUGACCGUAAACGAUGCCGACUGGCAAUUGGGCGCACUUCUGACGAAGUUGCCGCCAGCAGUAUUGCUCCUGGGAAACCAAAGUCAUUGGGUUCCGGGGGGAGUAUGGUUGCAAAGCUGAAACUUAAAGGAAUUGACGGAAGGGCACCACUAGGAGUGGAGCCUGCGGCUUAAUUUGACUCAACACGGGAAAACUCACCCGGCCCGAACACUGUUAUGACAGACAGGUUGAGAGCUCUUUCUCGAUUCAGUGGUUGGUGGUGCAUGGCCGUUCUUAGUUCGUGGAGCGAUCUGUCUGGUUAAUUCCGAUAACGAACGAGACUCUUGCCUGCUAAAUAGACGGCGCCGACGUGCACGGCGACCGCAUGCUUCUUAGAGGGACAAGCGGCUUUUAGCCGCGUGAAGCGGAGAGCAAUAACAGGUCAGUGAUGCCCUCAGAUGUUCGGGGCCGCACGCGCGCUACACUGUUUGCAUCAGCGUGUCUACCCUCGCCGGCCGGCGUGGGCAACCCGUUGAAACGCAAACGUGCUAGGGCUCGGAGAUUGCAAUUAUUCUCCGUCAACGAGGAAUUCCUUGUACUUGUGAGUCAUCAGCUCGCGGGGAAUCUGUCCCUGCCCUU
rnacentral:rRNA from 1 species